AUGUCUUUCUUGGCCUUUUGGCUAAGAUCAAGUGUAGUAUAUGUUCUUUUAAUAUUUGAUAUGUGGUUCAUAGAACCACAUGAUAUUAAAUGUAUUUUUCUAAGGGGAGGGCCCACUCACAAUAGUUUGCUAUUGGGGCUCUUGAUCAUUGUCGCACCAGCCUCCAGCUUGGGGCAAACCAU
rnacentral:snRNA from 1 species